rnacentral:sRNA from 1 species
AAAAAACAAACUUGUCAAACAAAGAGACGGUGGUAAAGAGAGUGUGCGAGCGACAUUGUAGAGAGCCAAUUAACAGUGAUGCCAAUGUUACGCGCAUCUGAAAGGUAAAAUCUAUCUAAAAUUAAAUCUAACCAUAUCACGAGACAAAGUACAAAAUAAAAUAAAAUCUUGUCAUCAAGCAUUUCUUUGAAUUGGUGGGGAGAGAUCUAAUGAAUAAAAUUGAUGUGGAAGCCAAUUAAUGGAUUAUGGAAGGACCCAUGAAUCGAUCUCAAUUAAUCGUCUUUUUCCGUCAACUCUUGAAAAACAUCAUUUACAUACACGAGAAAUAAGUUUUAACCAUUUUUUUACAUCAAAAAAUGCAGUUCCUCUUAAAGUUAUAAUAGCAGCAAGUGGCUAUUGGAAGACAACAUUGAAGCAUUUAUUCAUGAGUUACUGGACGAAGUGUUGCAAAGAGUGCGCCAAAAUUGGACUAAACGGAUAAAUCAUUUGAGGUGCAGUCGCGAUCAAUAUUUGCAUGAAAUAAUUUUUAAAUUUUAAUUUAUGUGGACCGUACUACCAAUUCAAAUGAAGAUUUCUUGC